rnacentral:lncRNA from 1 species
AGUGCAGAACUUCUGUGGUGUCCCCACCUGUAUGCGGAAGAGCACAUGGUCCAACUUGGUCUUCUUCAGGUUCCCACAGGAUCCAUCCAGAUGCGCAAAGUAGGUGGAGAAAUGUCGGAGAGCAGACCUAUUAGAUAAAACAUCUAAUUAAUUAAAUACACAUUCUCAAUUAGGUGCCAACCAUUUCUGAGUCCUCUACCAUCUGUAGAGCUAGUCUUAAUAGAAAAUCUUUGAGAUAAUGCAAUCCCAGCAAAUUUGAUCUUACCACUCAUUUGAACAAUCCACAUAGUAGACACAGAAAAUGAAUAAAAGAAUUGAAGAAAGAUGAAAUUAGAACACUGAAACAGAAAAAAGUUGAUGAAACUUCUGAACAGGAAUGAAAACAUAAAGAAACCAACAACAGCAGAGUUCAGAACCCCAGGGCAGUAGAAGCCAGCCAAGGGAAGGAUGUGGACAUUUUGCCUCUAACCCCUAAAGAGAAAGAAAAUAAAGAACACCUAAAAUCUCCAUUUGAAAUGUUGAUUUUGUUGGAAAAACAAAAUAUACCUCUGGAUAGAUGUGAGACUGAUGAAAUGCCAGAAGGUCUCUUUACUCCCGGUAACAUCGAAGUACUGCUGGAGUACAGAUAAAUUCUGGUGAAGGUCUUGAGAAAGUGUUUUGAGACGACAGCCAUGAGCACUUUUUUUUUUCUGAAAUACAACCAAAUCAGAUGCUAGAGUCUGUGAGAUUCUAGAGGCUGCUAGAGAUCUGUGGGAGCUGCAUUUGGGAAGAAACCCUCAGGGACUUGAGAGACUCACACUUCUUUUCCAUUAUCACUGACAUAGCCGGGGAAGAUCACCUACAGUGUUGGUGAGGUUUGUUGAUGAAUCUCAUGACCUGGGAGUGGAAUCUGUGGGCUUCCCACCUUAUGAGGCAGAUGCAGAAAUUUUGGCUGCGAAAUUUCACACUGAAAGUUACAAGUGGGCACUAAAUAUGGAAUAUUGUUAUGGCCAGAUUUACAUUAUGUCUGGUGGAUUUUCUUCUAAAAUGGAAGUUGUUUGCUUCUAGACUUUUGAAGAAAACCCCUCAAGCUAUCUACAUACUCUGCUCUUCCUGUGCCUUAAGUAUGUGGUUGGCAAAAUCAGUGCCUGUUAUGGGAGCAAUUGAGGAACAAAUGCUAUAACUUUUCCUAUAACAAUUGUUAUAGGAAAAGUUGAGGAAGUUUGUUCUUUUUUCCAUUGUUGGCUGCAACUGCUUUUAGAAUUUGGCAAUGUAAUUUCUGUUCUUUUUCAGAACAGUGAAGAAAAGGGUAAAGGACUGAACGAAAUUUGCCAUUCUCAGUGGACAGGCAGGCAUGAUGCUUUUGAAUUGUAGUGGACCUCCUGUAAGCACUUGUUUUAGAUGGUAUAAAUAGUGACCCAAAUACUAGAUGGAAUAACUGUAUAGCUGGCCAAGCAUUUGUACUCUGUAGUAUAGUAGCAGAUUUUGAUUUCACUGUUAUCAUUAUUGUUCUUUAAAGUCUCCUAUCUUUUACAAGAGCCUCUGGGGAAAAUUUCUGAGGGCAAACCUCUGAUUUCUUCUUUGCAGCUAAUAGCUUGACUGCUGUACUGCAUGCACUCAAUGAAAUGAUGGAAAAUAUUGAAGUUCAUCAUGAGUUUUGGUUUGAGGAAGCCACAAAUUUGGCAACCAAACCUGAUAUUCAAAUGAAACUCCCUGGGAAAUUCCACAGAGCUCAGCAAGGCAACUUGGAAUCUCAACUAACCUCAGAGUUACUGUAAAGAAACCCCAAGUGCUCCAACAGUGCAACACGUUCUUCAGGAGCUGAAAGGUAUAUUCUCAGAACAGCACCUCAGAGCUCUUAAAUGCAUAUCUCUGGUACCAUCAGUCAUGGGAUAACUCAAACUCAAUAUGUCAGAGGAACACCAUGUACAGAAGUGACUUACUGGAUCCCGACAUGCUCUCAGCUGAGCUUCAUUGUUGCAGAGUCAAAUGGAAACACAGAGCAGAAGGUAUAAAGCUUCCAUCCCCAUUUAUGAAGCCCUCAAUCUGCCUGACAUCAGGCAGAUGUGUAGGCAUUGAUGUGUAUGCAUCGAUGAAGGUCUCAUGUAGUCUUCCUGUGAUAAAGGUUGAGAAUGAGUGCUAUAAAAAUGGACAAAAGCAUUUCAAAGUGUAUUUGAUGAACACGUUGACUGACUAAAGAUCGAGUAACUUGGCUUUGCAUAACAUAAAUUUUAAUAUAAAACAUGAUCUGGAUUUAAUGGUAAACACAUAUAUCAACUCUAUACAACUAAGUCAGAGCUUCCUACAGAUAAUUCAGAAACUAGUUAAAAU